AACGAACGCUGGCGGCGCGCCUAAUACAUGCAAGUCGAGCGAGAAGACGUAGCAAUACGUUUGUAAAGCGGCGAACGGGUGAGGAAUACAUGGGUAACCUACCCUCGAGUGGGGAAUAACUAGCCGAAAGGUUAGCUAAUACCGCGUACGCUCCUUGGACUUCGGUUCAGGGAGGAAAGCGAUACCGUGGGUAUCGCGCUCUUGGAUGGGCUCAUGUCCUAUCAGCUUGUUGGUGAGGAACGGCUCACCAAGGCUUCGACGGGUAGCUGGGUCUGAGAGGACGAUCAGCCACACUGGCACUGCGACACGGGCCAGACUCCUACGGGAGCAGCAGUAAGGAAUAUGCGCAAUGGGCGAAAGCCUGACGCAGCGACGCCGCGUGGGGGAUGAAGGUC
rnacentral:rRNA from 1 species